rnacentral:rRNA from 1 species
AGUGAACGCUGGCGGUAGGCCUAACACAUGCAAGUCGAACGGCAGCACAGUAAGAUCUUGCUCUUACGGGUGGCGAGUGGCGGACGGGUGAGGAAUACAUCGGAAUCUUCUUUUUCGUGGGGGAUAACGUAGGGAAACUUACGCUAAUACCGCAUACGACCUACGGGUGAAAGCAGUGGAUCUUCGGACCUUGCGCGAUUGAAUUAGCCGAUGUCGGAUUAGCUAGUUGGCGGGGUAAAGGCCCACCAAGGCGACGAUCCGUAGCUGGUCUGAGAGGAUGAUCAGCCACACUGGAACUGAGACACGGUCCAGACUCCUACGGGAGGCAGCAGUGGGGAAUAUUGGACAAUGGGCGCAAGCCUGAUCCAGCCAUACCGCGUGGGUGAAGAAGGCCUUCGGGUUGUAAAGCCCUUUUGUUGGGAAAGAAAAGCAGCAGGUUGAUACCCCGCUGUUCUGACGGUACCCAAAGAAUAAGCACCGGCUAACUUCGUG